UACGAAGGGGGCUAGCGUUGCUCGGAAUCACUGGGCGUAAAGGGUGCGUAGGCGGGUCUUUAAGUCAGGGGUGAAAUCCUGGAGCUCAACUCCAGAACUGCCUUUGGUACUGAAGAUCUUGAGUCCGGGAGAGGUGAGUGGAACUGCGAGUGUAGAGGUGAAAUUCGUAGAUAUUCGCAAGAACACCAGUGGCGAAGGCGGCUCACUGGCCCGGUACUGACGCUGAGGAGCGAAAGCGUGGGGAGCGAACAGG
rnacentral:rRNA from 1 species